rnacentral:rRNA from 1 species
UUAAAGAGUUCUAUAACUCCCAAACCCAUGUGAACAUACCUAACGUUGCCUCGGCAGGUCGCACCUACCUUGUAGCACCCUACCCUGUAGGGCCUACCCGGGAGGUGCGGGUAAGCCUGCCGGCGGCCCACCAAACUCUGUUUGAUAUUGAAUUCUGAACCUAUAACUAAAUAAGUUAAAACUUUCAACAACGGAUCUCUUGGUUCUGGCAUCGAUGAAGAACGCAGCGAAAUGCGAUAAGUAAUGUGAAUUGCAGAAUUCAGUGAAUCAUCGAAUCUUUGAACGCAUAUUGCGCCCAUUAGUAUUCUAGUGGGCAGGACCGUUCGAGCGUCAUUUCAACCCUUAAGCCUUCGUUGCUUAGUGUUGGGAGCCUACGGCAACGUAGCUCCUCAAAGUUAGUGGCGGAGUUGGUUCACACUCUAGACGUAGUAAUUUUUUAUCUCGCCUAUUAGUUGGACUAAUCCCCUGCCGUAAAACCCCUAAUUUAUCAAGGUUGACCUCGAAUCGGUUCAGACAAACUCGCUAAAUUGAAGCAUCUUAGUCAGCGAAGGAAAAGAAACCAACAGGGAUUGCCCUAGUAACGGCGAGUGAAGCGGCAACAGCUCAAAUUUGAAAUCUGGCCCUCGGGUCCGAGUUGUAAUUUGUAGAGG